rnacentral:rRNA from 1 species
CUACGGGACGCAGCAGUGGGGAAUAUUGGACAAUGGGGGAAACCCUGAUCCAGCAAUGCCGCGUGUGUGAAGAAGGCCUGCGGGUUGUAAAGCACUUUCGGUUGGGAGGACUGCUUCUAGCACUAAUAUUGUUGGAAGUUGACGUUACCUUCAGAAGAAGCACCGGCUACUCCGUGCCAGCAGCCGCGGUAAUACGGAGGGUGCAAGCGUUAAUCGGAAUUACUGGGCGUAAAGCGCGCGUAGGCGGCUAGAUCAGUCGGGUGUGAAAGCCCCGGGCUUAACCUGGGAACUGCAUCCGAUACUGUCUAGCUUGAGUACAGGAGAGGAGAGUGGAAUUCCACAUGUAGCGGUGAAAUGCGUAGAUAUGUGGAGGAACACCAAUGGCGAAGGCAGCUCUCUGGCCUGAUACUGACGCUGAGGUGCGAAAGCGUGGGGAGCAACCAGGAUUAGAUACCCCUGUAGUC